CUUAGCUCCGCUGGCACUGGCCGGUGCUCUGCUUGGCUACGCUGCCACUCUCACCCUCAGCUGUAGCUGAGCCCAACUUUUCUGGCCAUGCUAAGCAGCCGCUGUGCCAAGCCCCCUCCUGACUGUCCCGUAGGAGAAGCACUUCCCAAAGGGAUCCCUACAAGAGGACGCGGUCCGGGCCAGAGGGAAGGGUGGCUUCGGAGGCCAUGGGACAGAAGACAAGGAAGAGAACCAUGAAAGAGCACAGGAAGAUGAUCCAAAAGCAGCGGUGCCCACAUUCAAGACGCCUUCAUCCUACAUCUGUCCCAGUCACGCCCGAGUCAAAGGAGACUGCGCUCUCAUGAUGCGGUUCUAUAGAACCCGAGGAGGAAGUUGUGUCGGGGCGGGGACUCAGCGCGGUCUUCCCCUGAUUUCUCCUUGUUAUCCACCAUUCCACCUGACUCGGCUCCACCUCCCUCUGAGGAUAACAGUGGUUAUCUCUCAACUAACGGCAAAGAGAUUCCGAUUAAACUGCAAAUAAAGUGACAUAAUUGGUGCUGCUUGCGAAGAGUUUUCUCUACUUACAGUAGAAGCUGUAGUAACUAUUGUACUGAUUUUUAGAAUCUACUACAUAAACCAGAAACUAUACAGUAAACUAGCAAUGAACAGAAAUCAGAAAGAGGCUCUUUAAAUUAUUCUUAAAAAGUGAGAUUUACUUGUUCAAUUCAUAAACUCAGCAGACACUUAAAAUGAUAAUAAUCUGAUUUUUGUUACAAAGCUGCGUUGGAUGUGGCUCUAGGUGUCGUCCCGUCGUACCCCCGUCGUCGUAACCCCCUGCUUGCAGGAUCUUUGCUGGCACCGUGAGCAGCUCCAUGUCAGGGUCAAAGCAAGCAGACAAAGACACCUUGUGGAGAGGGCUAAACUUCACUGUAUGAUUUCAGAUGUGGUUUUCUGAUCCUUCUGGGCUCAGUUCCCUCAUCUCUAAGACAGGGUAAACAUUUCUCAUUAAGGGUUUAAGAAACAAUUGACAAGCUAAUUAUAAAACACUUUGCCAAAAGAACAUGCCACACAAGCGCUCAACAAUAAAGGCCGCUCUGUAAUUGCAGAAUGUUUUGAAAGCCGAUCGGAGACAGUACG
ensembl:lincRNA